rnacentral:lncRNA from 1 species
GGGUGACGAGGUGUCGUGGAACACAACAGCACAAAGUGACGCCGACAAUGGCAAUGCGAGACGAUGACAACAGUAACAAUGCAAGAUGAUGACAACAGCAGCAGCGCGAGACGACGACAACAACGAUAACGCAAGAGGUGACAACGAUAGCAGCAAAACACAAUGACUACAAGGAUAAGACGCGACGACAGCAACAACAACGACAAUAUAUGACGACAACAGUGGCAGCGGUAAGAUGUAAGGGCAAGAAUGAAAAAACGCGACUGCGGCAACGACAAUGGCAAGAUGCGACUGUGACAGCGAAAACGACAAGACGCGACGACGAAAUCGUGGGAAGGGGCGGCGAGACACGACAUGCGAGGCGGCAACUACAACACCCACUUUCUUGGACGCAGAACAAGGAGAUCUAGAAAGGGGAGAUCUCUUAAGCAGAGGUUAUGACACAAUGUGUUGGGAUUGGACAAGAGCAAAAAUGGAGAGAGAAAGAAAUUUCUAAGGAUGGAAGAAAAUGAAGAAAGAAGUGUUUUGUGUUUUGAGUAGAAGAAGGAGAACUAAUGUUAAGAAUAGUUUGGGAAUUAGGCUAAAUAAUUUAGGUCUUUUCAUAUUUUAAUAGACUUAAAAUAUUAAUUUAGGUCUGUCAAAAAGCUCAACAAAUGCAAAAUUUAAAUGUG